GACGAACGCUGGCGGCGUGCUUAACACAUGCAAGUCGAACGGAAAGGCCCUGCUUGCAGGGUGCUCGAGUGGCGAACGGGUGAGUAACACGUGGGUGAUCUGCCCCUUACUUUGGGAUAAGCCUGGGAAACUGGGUCUAAUACUGGAUAGGACCAUGCUGUAGGUGGUGUGGUGGAAAGAUUAGUUUCGGUAAGGGAUGAGCUCGCGGCCUAUCAGCUUGUUGGUGGGGUAAUGGCCUACCAAGGCGUCGACGGGUAGCCGGCCUGAGAGGGUGGACGGCCACAUUGGGACGGAGAUACGGCCCAGACUCCUACGGGAGGCAGCAGUGGGGAAUAUUGCACAAUGGGCGCAAGCCUGAUGCAGCGACGCCGCGUGGGGGAUGACGGCCUUCGGGUUGUAAACUCCUUUCAGCCAUGACGAAGCCUUCGGGUGACGGUAGUGGUAGAAGAAGCACCGGCUAACUACGUG
rnacentral:rRNA from 1 species